rnacentral:rRNA from 1 species
GACGAACGCUGGCGGCGUGCCUAAUACAUGCAAGUCGAGCGAUGAUUAAAGAUAGCUUGCUAUUUUUAUGAAGAGCGGCGAACGGGUGAGUAACGCGUGGGAAAUCUGCCGAGUAGCGGGGGACAACGUUUGGAAACGAACGCUAAUACCGCAUAACAAUGAGAAUCGCAUGAUUCUUAUUUGAAAGAAGCAAUUGCUUCACUACUUGAUGAUCCCGCGUUGUAUUAGCUAGUUGGUAGUGUAAAGGACUACCAAGGCGAUGAUACAUAGCCGACCUGAGAGGGUGAUCGGCCACACUGGGACUGAGACACGGCCCAGACUCCUACGGGAGGCAGCAGUAGGGAAUCUUCGGCAAUGGGGGCAACCCUGACCGAGCAACGCCGCGUGAGUGAAGAAGGUUUUCGGAUCGUAAAACUCUGUUGUUAGAGAAGAACGUUAAGUAGAGUGGAGAAUUACUUAAGUGACGGUAUCUAACCAGAAAGGGACGGCUAACUACGUGCCAGCCGCCGCGGUAACAC